rnacentral:tRNA from 1 species
GGCCUGCUAGCUCAGUCUGUUAGAGCGUCGUGCUAAUAACGCGAAGGUCGUAGGUUCGAUCCCUGCGCAGGCCA